rnacentral:rRNA from 1 species
UACGUAGGUGGCAAGCGUUGUCCGGAUUUACUGGGCGUAAAGAGCGCGCAGGCGGUCGUUCAAGUCGCGUGUGAAAGCCCCCGGCUCAACUGGGGAGGGUCACGCGAUACUGAUCGACUCGAAGGCAGGAGAGGGAAGUGGAAUUCCCGGUGUAGUGGUGAAAUGCGUAGAUAUCUGGAGGAACACCGGUGGCGAAGGCGGCAUCCUGGACCGACAUUGACGCUGAGGCGCGAAAGCCAGGGGAGCAAACGGG